rnacentral:rRNA from 1 species
AAAUUGAAGAGUUUGAUCAUGGCUCAGAUUGAACGCUGGCGGCAGGCCUAACACAUGCAAGUCGAACGGUAACAGGAAACAGCUUGCUGUUUCGCUGACGAGUGGCGGACGGGUGAGUAAUGUCUGGGAAACUGCCUGAUGGAGGGGGAUAACUACUGGAAACGGUAGCUAAUACCGCAUAAUGUCGCAAGACCAAAGAGGGGGACCUUCGGGCCUCUUGCCAUCGGAUGUGCCCAGAUGGGAUUAGCUGGUAGGUGGGGUAACGGCUCACCUAGGCGACGAUCCCUAGCUGGUCUGAGAGGAUGACCAGCCACACUGGAACUGAGACACGGUCCAGACUCCUACGGGAGGCAGCAGUGGGGAAUAUUGCACAAUGGGCGCAAGCCUGAUGCAGCCAUGCCGCGUGUAUGAAGAAGGCCUUCGGGUUGUAAAGUACUUUCAGCGGGGAGGAAGGGAGUAAAGUUAAUACCUUUGCUCAUUGACGUUACCCGCAGAAGAAGCACCGGCUAACUCCGUGCCAGCAGCCGCGGUAAUACGGAGGGUGCAAGCGUUAAUCGGAAUUACUGGGCGUAAAGCGCACGCAGGCGGUUUGUUAAGUCAGAUGUGAAAUCCCCGGGCUCAACCUGGGAACUGCAUCUGAUACUGGCAAGCUUGAGUCUCGUAGAGGGGGGUAGAAUUCCAGGUGUAGCGGUGAAAUGCGUAGAGAUCUGGAGGAAUACCGGUGGCGAAGGCGGCCCCCUGGACGAAGACUGACGCUCAGGUGCGAAAGCGUGGGGAGCAAACAGGAUUAGAUACCCUGGUAGUCCACGCCGUAAACGAUGUCGACUUGGAGGUUGUGCCCUUGAGGCGUGGCUUCCGGAGCUAACGCGUUAAGUCGACCGCCUGGGGAGUACGGCCGCAAGGUUAAAACUCAAAUGAAUUGACGGGGGCCCGCACAAGCGGUGGAGCAUGUGGUUUAAUUCGAUGCAACGCGAAGAACCUUACCUGGUCUUGACAUCCACGGAAGUUUUCAGAGAUGAGAAUGUGCCUUCGGGAACCGUGAGACAGGUGCUGCAUGGCUGUCGUCAGCUCGUGUUGUGAAAUGUUGGGUUAAGUCCCGCAACGAGCGCAACCCUUAUCCUUUGUUGCCAGCGGUCCGGCCGGGAACUCAAAGGAGACUGCCAGUGAUAAACUGGAGGAAGGUGGGGAUGACGUCAAGUCAUCAUGGCCCUUACGACCAGGGCUACACACGUGCUACAAUGGCGCAUACAAAGAGAAGCGACCUCGCGAGAGCAAGCGGACCUCAUAAAGUGCGUCGUAGUCCGGAUUGGAGUCUGCAACUCGACUCCAUGAAGUCGGAAUCGCUAGUAAUCGUGGAUCAGAAUGCCACGGUGAAUACGUUCCCGGGCCUUGUACACACCGCCCGUCACACCAUGGGAGUGGGUUGCAAAAGAAGUAGGUAGCUUAACCUUCGGGAGGGCGCUUACCACUUUGUGAUUCAUGACUGGGGUGAAGUCGUAACAAGGUAACCGUAGGGGAACCUGCGGUUGGAUCACCUCCUUACCUUAAAGAAGC